rnacentral:rRNA from 1 species
UAGACCCGUGGCAGACGGGGUAGUAACAGGUAGGAACAUACCUAGAAGUCAGGGAUAACCCAUCAAAAGAUGGGAUAAUACUUGAUAGUCUCUUCGGAGUAAAGAUUUAUCGCUUCUAGAUUGGCCUGCUUCGUAUCAGCUUGUUGGUGAGGUAAUGGCUCACCAAGGCUAUGACGCGUAGGGGACCUGAGAGGGUGACCCCCACCAUUGGUACUGCGACACUGACCAAACACCUACGGGUGGCUGCAGUCGAGAAUCUUCCGCAAUGGACGAAAGUCUGACGGAGCGACGCCGCGUGAUUGAUGAAGUCCUUCGGGACGUAAAAAUCUUUUCUCAAGGAGGAAGUUUAUUGACGUUACUUGAGGAAUAAGAGGUUGCUAAACUCGUGCCAGCAGCAGCGGUAAUACGAGUGCCUCGAGCGUUAUCCGGAAUUAUUGGGCGUAAAGGGUGCGUAGGCGGACUUAUUAGUCUCUUGUUAAAGCUUCGGUUAUAACCCGAAAAAAGCAAGAGAAACGGUAAGUCUAGAGGAUGUGAGGGGUAAGCGGAACUAAUAGUGUAGGGGUGAAAUCCGUUGAUAUUAUUAGGAACACCAAAAGCGAAGGCAGCUUACUAGCACACUCCUGACGCUGAGGCACGAAAGCGUGGGUAGCGAAUGGGAUUAGAUACCCCAGUAGUCCACGCCCUAAACGAUGUUCUCUAGCUUUAAUCGGAAUCGACCCCGGUUGAGGCGAAGCUAACGCGUUAAGAGAACCGCCUGGGUAGUACGGCCGCAAGGCUAAAACUCAAAGGAAUAGACGGGGGCUUGCACAAGCGGUGGAUCAUGUGGCUUAAUUCGUCGAUAAACGAAGAACCUUACCAGGGCUAGAAAUCUAUCUGAAAGCUCUAAGAAACUAGAGCCCUCGCAAGACAGAUAGACAGGUGCUGCAUGGUCGUCGUCAGCUCGUGGUUUGAACUGUUCCCUUAAGUGGGGUAACGAGCGCAACCCCUAUUGUGUGUUACAAGUGUCACACAAGACUGCCC